AUAUUCACUUCACACUUGAAUAGGAAGGAAAAUUGAAAGACCAACUGAUGGAUAUUUAAGUCCAGGGCAGCUGUCGUUCACUACCUUUCUUUGCCAACAGUGUCGUGGCAGCAGGUUUCACCUCCAUAGACAUACGUGUGUUACCGGCGCCAUGCGCUUUACAUUGCUGAUUUUGGCGGUCUUCAUGAUGUGCGGAUGGGGUAACAUCAACGGCCUCAAGAUCCCUUUCGAAGAUUUCAGAGAGCUGUCGCCCUCCGAAACCAACCUCUCGGGUAGCGAAGGAGACUACAUCGAACCAAAGGAAG